rnacentral:rRNA from 1 species
ACAAUGAAGAGUUUGAUCCUGGCUCAGGAUGAACGCUAGCUACAGGCUUAACACAUGCAAGUCGAGGGGCAGCAUUUCAGUUUGCUUGCAAACUGGAGAUGGCGACCGGCGCACGGGUGAGUAACACGUAUCCAACCUGCCGAUAACUCGGGGAUAGCCUUUCGAAAGAAAGAUUAAUACCCGAUGGUAUAAUCAGACCGCAUGGUUUGAUUAUUAAAGAAUUUCGGUUAUCGAUGGGGAUGCGUUCCAUUAGGCAGUUGGUGAGGUAACGGCUCACCAAACCUUCGAUGGAUAGGGGUUCUGAGAGGAAGGUCCCCCACAUUGGAACUGAGACACGGUCCAAACUCCUACGGGAGGCAGCAGUGAGGAAUAUUGGUCAAUGGGCGCAGGCCUGAACCAGCCAAGUAGCGUGAAGGAUGACUGCCCUAUGGGUUGUAAACUUCUUUUAUAUGGGAAUAAAGUUUUCCACGUGUGGAAUUUUGUAUGUACCAUAUGAAUAAGGAUCGGCUAACUCCGUGCCAGCAGCCGCGGUAAUACGGAGGAUCCGAGCGUUAUCCGGAUUUAUUGGGUUUAAAGGGAGCGUAGGUGGACAGUUAAGUCAGUUGUGAAAGUUUGCGGCUCAACCGUAAAAUUGCAGUUGAUACUGGCUGUCUUGAGUACAGUAGAGGUGGGCGGAAUUCGUGGUGUAGCGGUGAAAUGCUUAGAUAUCACGAAGAACUCCGAUUGCGAAGGCAGCUCACUGGACUGCAACUGACACUGAUGCUCGAAAGUGUGGGUAUCAAACAGGAUUAGAUACCCUGGUAGUCCACACAGUAAACGAUGAAUACUCGCUGUUUGCGAUAUACAGUAAGCGGCCAAGCGAAAGCAUUAAGUAUUCCACCUGGGGAGUACGCCGGCAACGGUGAAACUCAAAGGAAUUGACGGGGGCCCGCACAAGCGGAGGAACAUGUGGUUUAAUUCGAUGAUACGCGAGGAACCUUACCCGGGCUUAAAUUGCAUUUGAAUAAUCUGGAAACAGGUUAGCCGCAAGGCAAAUGUGAAGGUGCUGCAUGGUUGUCGUCAGCUCGUGCCGUGAGGUGUCGGCUUAAGUGCCAUAACGAGCGCAACCCUUAUCUUUAGUUACUAACAGGUCAUGCUGAGGACUCUAGAGAGACUGCCGUCGUAAGAUGUGAGGAAGGUGGGGAUGACGUCAAAUCAGCACGGCCCUUACGUCCGGGGCUACACACGUGUUACAAUGGGGGGUACAGAAGGCAGCUACCUGGUGACAGGAUGCUAAUCCCAAAAGCCUCUCUCAGUUCGGAUCGAAGUCUGCAACCCGACUUCGUGAAGCUGGAUUCGCUAGUAAUCGCGCAUCAGCCAUGGCGCGGUGAAUACGUUCCCGGGCCUUGUACACACCGCCCGUCAAGCCAUGAAAGCCGGGGGUACCUGAAGUACGUAACCGCAAGGAGCGUCCUAGGGUAAAACUGGUAAUUGGGGCUAAGUCGUAACAAGGUAGCCGUACCGGAAGGUGCGGCUGGAACACCUCCUUU